GCCUAGCCAUAAAUCCCAAUGCGCUACAUUCACCAAGCCAUUCGCCUGGGAACUACGAGCACAAACGCUUAAAACCCUAAGGACUUGGCGGUGUUCCAAACCCUCCUAGAGGAGCCUGUUCUAUAAUCGAUAACCCACGAUAUACCCGACCUCUCCUCGCAUAUCAGCCUACAUACCGCCGUCUCCAGCUCGCCCUUUACUGAGGGUUUAACAGCGAGCAUAAUAGCUUAAGUCUUCGCUAACAAGACAGGUCAAGGUAUAGCUAAUGGAGAGGAAGAAAUGGGCUACAUUUUCUAAGAUAGAAUAUUAUUUUAACGAAAAGAGGUGUGAAAUCUACCUCUGGAAGGCGGAUUUAGCAGUAAAAAGAGACUAUAAAGCUCUCUUUAAGACGGCCCUGGGACACGUACAUACCGCCCGUCACCCUCCUCAA
rnacentral:rRNA from 2 species